rnacentral:rRNA from 1 species
AUGAUAGUUCGGCUAUCCGGACACCCCCUAGUCAAGGACUCCCUCAGUUGGGUUAAGAAAAUUUUGCAUAAUGGAACUGUUUCCAUUAAGCUUAAUGAUAAAGUCGGUCCUUAUUUCCAAAGUGCUAAGGGGGUGAGGCAGGGGGACACUUUCUCUCCUUUCCUAUUUAAUAUGGCUGCUGAGUGCCUUACUAAAAUGAGUCUUACAGCUCAAAAAAAUGGUCUGAUUGUUGGUAUGGCUCCUGACCUUAUUGACAAUGGAGUUGCGGUGUUGCAGUAUGCCGACAACACAAUCCUCUAUGUCAAUCAUGAUCAGGAAAAGGCUAUAAACCUUAAGCUUUUACUAUAUAUGUUCGAGCUUAUGUCUGGUCUUAAAGUGAACUAUUCUAAAAGUGAAAUCUUCUCCGUGGGGUGUGACAACAUAAUUACCGAAUUUUAUUCUGAUAUGGGAAAUUUACCCAUUAAAUACUUAGGGGCCCCAGUUUCCUUUGCUGCUUUAAAAACUUGUGAUCUGGAUUUUAUGGAAGCUAAAAUGAUCAGGAAACUUGAUGCAUGGGUUGGUAAUUCAGCAUCUUCAGGGGCCAGGUUGACUUUGGCAAACUCCACUUUAUCUGGCAUUCUUUUUAUCAUGUCCAUGUUCUUGCUGAAUAAAACCACUCUAAAAAAGCUCGAUAAGCCUCGUAGGCAUUUCUUUUGGGAGGGUUGUGGUGGUAAAAAGAAAUACCAUAUGGUGAGAUGGAAUAUCAUUUGUAGAUCGAGAAAAAAAGGUGGAUUGGGUGUCUUGGACUUGGAGAAGCAGAAUAUUAGUCUUGUGACUAAAUGGUGGUGGAAACUUGAAACUCAAGAUGGGCUUUGGCAACGUAUUAUUAAAGUUAAAUACUUUUAAAAUCAGUCUAUUACCUCCGUUAAACCUAGAUUUAAUGAUUCUCCAUGUUGGAAAAAUAUUCUCAAGGUUAAGGAGAUCUAUAUGGCUAGUAGAAAAGUGAUUUUGAAUAGUGGGCAUCUGACUAGAUUUUGGCAUGACCCCUGGUACAAUGAUAUGUCCCUUGCUCUCCAGUUCCCUCCAUUGUUUGAUCUAUGUCAGAAUCAAAAAUGUACUAUUGUUGAGUUCUUUCGGAAUGAUUGUGUUAUCCCCUUUCGUAGAAGAUUGGUAACCGAGCUACUUACUCAAUGGAAUGGUGUUGUGAGUGAGGCGAAAAAACUUCAGUUAAAAGAUACUCCGAAUAGUGUUGCUUGGUCUCUUAAUAAGAAAGGUUUCUUUACUACUAAAUCUGAUUACAAUUGGCUAGAAAGGAAUAUUGUUGGAGCCGAUAAGUGGAUCUGGGAAGCUUAUAUUCCUUUGAAGAUAAAAAAAUUUAUGUGGCGGAAUUUCAGAAAAGCUCUCCUUACUAGAGAUAAUUUGAAAAAGCAUAAAUGGCUGGGAAAUCCCAGAUGCUCCUUUUGCUCUGCACAAGAGACCUCUAGACAUUUAUUCUUUGAUUGUCACUUUGCUCAAACAGUGUGGGGGACUGUGGAUAAAGUCAUUGGCGCAGAGCGCAUGCCUACUAACCUUUGGCAAUCCUUGUCGUGGCUCUAUGCUUUUCUUCCUGGUGGUCAUACAUUUUACAUGAUCGGGAUUGCUGCGAUAUGCUGGGGGAUUUGGACUGUUAGAAACAAAGUAACUUUUGGUGCUCAUGUGGUGCGAUCCCCUAUUGGUGCUAUCUUUACGAUCUGCUCUUUUUUGAUGUAUUGGUCAGGUUUGCUCAAACACGCCGACAAGGAGACUCUAAUCAGUGGGGUGCAGGUGCUGAUGAAAGAAACAUCUCGACUGGCGCCGCUUGUGGUACCGGCUGGUGAAGGAGGUUACAACACCUAG